rnacentral:rRNA from 1 species
GAUGAACGCUGGCGGCGUGCCUAAUACAUGCAAGUCGAGCGAACAGACGAGGAGCUUGCUCCUCUGACGUUAGCGGCGGACGGGUGAGUAACACGUGGAUAACCUACCUAUAAGACUGGGAUAACUUCGGGAAACCGGAGCUAAUACCGGAUAAUAUAUUGAACCGCAUGGUUCAAUAGUGAAAGACGGUUUUGCAGUCACUUAUAGAUGGAUCCGCGCCGCAUUAGCUAGUUGGUAAGGUAACGGCUUACCAAGGCAACGAUGCGUAGCCGACCUGAGAGGGUGAUCGGCCACACUGGAACUGAGACACGGUCCAGACUCCUACGGGAGGCAGCAGUAGGGGAUCUUCCGCAAUGGGCGAAAGCCUGACGGAGCAACGCCGCGUGAGUGAUGAAGGUCUUCGGAUCGUAAAACUCUGUUAUUAGGGAAGAACAAAUGUGUAAGUAACUAUGCACGUCUUGACGGUACCUAAUCAGAAAGCCACGGCUAACUACGUG